AUUGAUUCAUUAAAAAUAUUGUCCUUGAUUCAUCACUUUGUUUAUCCCAACAUUUGUCAACUAGUUCUGACUAAAGUCCAACCACACUUUGUACUCAUUUGCCCAAAGGAAGAACAGAAGAAUCGCAGGGUGAGAGGACCAGAGAAUCUGAGACCUCAUCGAGACUCUCAGAGUCACUGUUACUCUGUGACCCUGGGUAAGACAAAUCCUCUGUUGCUAUUGAUGGCUACUUGAAGUGCUUCCUCCAGUCUUUCCAUUGUAGAAUAUUUAGGGAGGUCCAGAAUAGUAUGACAUAUCAAUAAUCUCAGGUUAUCUCUUUCACUGAAAGUUUCAGGACAGUGAAACAGGAUUUCCAUUUCCUGUAUGCCUCUUAUAUGCAGCCUGCCAUUUCAUCUAAGAAAAACUACAAAGGAAUAAACUUUGGCUAAGAUAGGUUGCAGAAAGAUCAAAACUUAAAAUGAAAAGGAAGAAAUUAGUCACUUCAUUUAACAAAUAGUAUUGAGUAUUCUUAUGCAGAGAAAACUAUAUGGACCAUAUGGAACAUAGAAAACAUGACAUUUGGUCUUCAUCUUCAGUGAGUUCAUAAUAUAACUGAGGAGAAAUUACAUUCAUGAAAAGAUAAUAGCAAGUUACAAGGAAGUUUAAUGUAGCUCAACAGAAAGUAUGAGGUGAGAGCCUACAGAAGGCCCUGAGACUCAGGGCAGGGAGGAAACACCAGGCUGGGAUAGUGGGGGCUCCUCAGAGGUCACAUCUGGCUAGUUAGUUCUCAAGGAGAAGACUUGGGUGAGCUUUGAAGACAGGGGAAGAAAGCCCCAGAGAAGGCCAGAGAUGGGAAGAGGUAAGAUGACAGACCCACUGGGCAGAAGCAGGUGUUUUUUCCAUUAAGAAAGAAAAUUGGAAAGUUAGUUUGUGCUUGGGGAGAAGAAGGUUGCAUUUGUGGAGAAGUUGAAAUUGUCCUUCACCAUCCUUAGUAGCAGCAAAAAUAGCAAGAAGAAAAGAUGUGUAUUUCAGGAAGAACUGAAAACGACUGAGGAGGUUAAUUUGUGGAAAGCUUUCCAAAACAUCAGUAUAUGAAGAUGUGAUUUGUGGUAUCCUUCACCACAUUUUGAAUUCCUGAGAAAAAAGGAGAAAAAUGGUUUUUAGGGGGAAUACAUAGAAGUUUUUUGGAAGAACUGGGAGCACUGUAGUCAUAACCUACCUCUUCAAAUUGUUCCCAGGUACUGAGAUGCCAUCUGGAAUUAAAGCAACAUCAUUUUGGUCGCAGUGUAGGAGCAACCAAAAUGUAUUCAGAUACCAAACAUGAAAGAAAGUCUGAAUAAUUAACCAUAAUACCAUUAUUGCCAGUACAUUCUUCCCUAAAAAAAUUUGAAUAACUGUGAACUAAGUAACUAUUUAUGUAAUU